UAUAUAUAUUCUUAAAUAAAAAUUAACAUAUAGGAGUUUAAGAAAUUUUUCUUCAUAUUGAAUUCUUCUCUUCUCUUUCUCUUCUAGAUUUUGUUUCUAAAUUUUACCACCAACUCUGCUAAAAGGCCUUGCCUGGUUGCAUUUAGAAGGACUUCUCUUCAAUCAAAUUCAAAAGCAUCAUCCUCAUUUGUAUUCAGAAGAAGUUCAAUGCCCUCUUGCCCACCAAACUGUUCCCCACUUUGUCUUUAACUGUUUAUAUAUUUAUUUUUAUGUACACUUACAUACUCACAUAUGCACAAAGUCAUGCUCAGUUCAAAUUUCAACACAAACAUUGUUUAGCAGCAGAGUUUUGUUUACAAGUUAACUCCCUACAUUCUUUCUUGUGCUAAUGAAUUGUUCCAUAUAAUUGCUUGUUUUUCCCUGUCUUGAUAUGUACAUACAUAUGUAAGGUUCACAAAAUAAGUUCUGCACAACAAUUUUUAUAAAAAAAACUAAAAAAAAAAAAAAAAAAAACCCAGUUUUAUCUGCUUUUAUUAUUUAUCUAAGGAGAACAUGUUGUUGAAAUGUUCUCCAUAAUACUGUAAAAUAAAAAGGUGCACGAAUGUAUGCUUAUUUAUCUAUGUAGACAUAUAUAUAUAUAUAUAUAUAUAUUCAUGCACACAUAGACACAUAAUUUUCUCCAAGUGUGAGCGUGGAAGGAAUCUUACCUUAUGACCAACCCCUUGUUUCUGCUCCAUUCUUUUUCCAACCACGAUUCAUCAUCCUUCACUCAAUAUACAGUUGAGGCCUUCAGUUUUAUAUGUAAAAUAAAUAAAAAUAAAAAGGACGAAAAAUGAGUCAUGCCCUAAUUCAGAGGCACCAGAGCAUUUGUUCUGCAAAAGAAAAUAAAAAGAGGUUUUUGGAAGAAUGGGAAAAAGAGGGAAAAGAGUGGUGGAAGAGAAAAGGGCUCAUUCUUUCUCUCCCCCUUUCAUUCUCACUGUUCUUAAUUGUGCUUCUUCCCCACUGCACAAAGGUAGACAAAUAUCAGCCACCCUCUCUCUUUUGUACGUUUUGACUCUAACCACACAGCCUUUUUUUUCUUCUGAAAUCCUAAUUUCCAUGUGGAAUCUGCCAACUUUAUAAACUUAAAUCCCAAAUGGUACAAAAAAGGGCUCAGUUUUAUUUCAUAAUUCAUUGUUAUAUGUCAUCCUGACAUGGAACAGGUAAACACAUUUUAUAAAAUUGACUUGAAAUCAUUAAGUAAAAUCUAAUACUCGUAAAAGUUGAAAUUGAUAUGUAAGCUGGAUUAGUAAGUGCAAUGCUAGAAAUUUCAAAGUUGGAAGCAAUUACAUUGAAAUAAACAAUGCAUGUUAAUUGCACUUGUUAUAUGUCAUGUAAAUCUCGUGUGAAUGUUAUAUGAACUCAAAUUCAUGAAUAUAUAUAUAUAUAUAUAUAUAUAUAUUCGAAGACAUCUCCUUUGAACUCCAAGUUAAUACUCCAAUGUGUAUAUGUCUUUUACAUAUUUUUUUCAUUGGUUAUUUCUCUCUUUACUCUAUCAUUAUCCCCCCCCCCACCUCCCCCUCCCCCAAGCAAGGCCUACUCAGCGUGGAAAUCCCUCCCUCACUGUCCCGAAAUCAGGCAACCGAGAUCUAGACACACACAUCCAGGAUAAUGGUUUCAACGCAAACAAGAUUAGGGUUGCAGGAUGGUGAACAUGCAAGCAGCGGCACCCCACCCGGGGAGCAAAGGGGGAGGGGAGGGGAGAAGAAAAGAAGGCGUCAGGGGCAGGAAAAAUGGAAAGAGGGAGGCCGGGGAGCUAAGUGUAGUGGUGAGCCAGGCGCCAUGACAGCACGCCAGGCGCGUGACUGCUGCUGCCCGCAGCGACAGAGACGAAAACGACGAAUCCUCCUCUAGCUCCCCCCCACCCCCGCCGGUACCGCAUCUCUAGACCUAAUCAUCAUUCAGCGAGGCCUAGUCAGUCUGACAUGGGCUAAGUGAGAGAGGGGUCCCAGUGUCUCUCUCGCGCUCACCACUCCCCAAGCGUGGAGUGUUGUAUGUGCUUUUGUCUGCUUUCAUGGUGAGAAAAAAAGCGAGAAGGCGGACGGGGAGCAAGCGAGCGAGAGUGAAAGUAAGAGUGAGAGUGAGAGUGAGAGGGAGCUGAAGAUAUCUCACAGCAGCCUCCCUCUCUCCCUUGGCUCCAUGUCGCCAAUCACUCAUCUCGUUACUUCUUCUUCGUUUUCUGCUUCUUCUUCUUCACAGCCCCAGGCUCCUCCCUCCUUCCAUUUCUCCACCUGUG
rnacentral:lncRNA from 1 species